rnacentral:lncRNA from 1 species
AUGGCAGGGACUUUGCUGUCAGUAGCUCAAGAGGCAAAAUGAACUACAGACUGGGACAAAAGGUGUGAAGUCUCUCGUUUACAUAGAUUGGAUUCAUCACAAAUUUACCAGGUCAAGAAUUCCAUAUAAAGCGUUUCAGCCUUCACUUGCAGAUCAUGAAAAAUAUGACGGAGAUCCACAGAAUCCUCAGAAACUGCAUAUUGUUACCAGAAUAAAAAAGUACAAAAAGGUGUCCAUAUUGGGAAAAAGACAUAAUAAAGAUGCUCAGAUUAGAAAACACACAUAUCCAUCAAGUUCACAAGCAUAUUGCUUCAGUGAAUGCAAAACUGAAAGUGGUUUAACAGUCAGUAAGAAUCAAGCCCCUGAAGUUGCCACAAGGAUUUCCAACUGAGGAGGACAUGUCUAAGCUCUGCCUCAAGAGCACUGGGGAAUUAGUGCAGUGGCAUCUGAAAUCUGUGGAGCAGAAAGCAAUUAACUCCUAA